UACGGGGGGAGCAAGCGUUGUUCGGAUUUACUGGGCGUAAAGGGCGCGUAGGCGGCCACCGCAAGUCGACUGUGAAAUCUCCGGGCUUAACCCGGAAAGGUCAGCCGAUACUGCGGGGCUAGAGUGCAGAAGGGGCAACUGGAAUUCUCGGUGUAGCGGUGAAAUGCGUAGAUAUCGAGAGGAACACCUGCGGCGAAGGCGGCAUCCUGGACCGACACUGACGCUGAGGAGCGAAAGCCAGGGGAGCAAACGGG
rnacentral:rRNA from 1 species